GUGAGUCAUCGAAUCUUUGAACGCACAUUGCGCCCCUUGGUAUUCCGAGGGGCAUGCCUGUUCGAGCGUCAUUACAACCCUCAAGCAAUGCUUGGUGUUGGGCCGCGCCGCUCACCCGGCGGGCCCUAAAACCAGUGGCGGUGCCGUCGGGCUCUGAGCGUAGUAACUUUCUCGCUAUAGAGCCCCGGCGGAUGCUGGCCAACAACCCCCAAUUUUCUAUGGUUGACCUCGGAUCAGGUAGGGAUACCCGCUGAACUUAAGCAUAUCAAUAAGCGGAGGA
rnacentral:misc_RNA from 1 species